rnacentral:sRNA from 1 species
UAGCCCACUGAGUCGUGCGGGUGAGAUCCUGCGUUCAGGUUCGAGCAUCGCGCAGCGAUACGACAACGCGCAGCGUUGCCCGCAGGGUGAGGCCAAAGGCCGAAUCAAUCCUGCACGACCCACCC